rnacentral:rRNA from 1 species
AUUGAACGCUGGCGGCAGGCCUAACACAUGCAAGUCGAGCGGAGCGGCGGACGGGUGAGUAAUGCCUAGGAAUCUGCCUGGUAGUGGGGGAUAACGUCCGGAAACGGGCGCUAAUACCGCAUACUAUCAGAUGAGCCUAGGUCGGAUUGGGUAGUUGGUGGGGUAAAGGCCUACAAAGGCGACGAGCCGUAACUGGUCUGAGGGGAUGAUCAGUCACACUGGAACUGAGACACGGUCCGGACUCUUACGGGAGGCAGCGGUGGGGAAUAUUGGACAAUGGGCGAAAGCCUGAUCCAGCAAUGCGGCGUGUGUGAAGAAGGUCUUCGGAUUGUAAAGCACUUUAGGUUGGGAGGCGUUACCCGCAGAAGAAGCACCGGCUAACUCCGUGCCAGCAGCCGCGGUAAUUC